rnacentral:rRNA from 6 species
AUAACGACUCUCGGCAACGGAUAUCUCGGCUCUCGCAUCGAUGAAGAACGCAGCGAAAUGCGAUACCUGGUGUGAAUUGCAGAAUCCCGUGAAUCAUCGAGUCUUUGAACGCAAGUUGCGCCCGAGGCCAUUUGGUCUAGGGCACGCCUGCCUGGGUGUCACA